ACGCUAGCUACAGGCUUAACACAUGCAAGUCGAGGGGCAGCAUGGUCUUAGCUUGCUAAGGCCGAUGGCGACCGGCGCACGGGUGAGUAACACGUAUCCAACCUGCCGUCUACUCUUGGACAGCCUUCUGAAAGGAAGAUUAAUACAAGAUGGCAUCAUGAGUCCGCAUGUUCACAUGAUUAAAGGUAUUCCGGUAGACGAUGGGGAUGCGUUCCAUUAGAUAGUAGGCGGGGUAACGGCCCACCUAGUCUUCGAUGGAUAGGGGUUCUGAGAGGAAGGUCCCCCACAUUGGAACUGAGACACGGUCCAAACUCCUACGGGAGGCAGCAGUGAGGAAUAUUGGUCAAUGGGCGAGAGCCUGAACCAGCCAAGUAGCGUGAAGGAUGACUGCCCUAUGGGUUGUAAACUUCUUUUAUAAAGGAAUAAAGUCGGGUAUGCAUACCCGUUUGCAUGUACUUUAUGAAUAAGGAUCGGCUAACUCCGUGCCAGCAGCCGCGGUAAUACGGAGGAUCCGAGCGUUAUCCGGAUUUAUUGGGUUUAAAGGGAGCGUAGAUGGAUGUUUAAGUCAGUUGUGAAAGUUUGCGGCUCAACCGUAAAAUUGCAGUUGAUACUGGAUAUCUUGAGUGCAGUUGAGGCAGGCGGAAUUCGUGGUGUAGCGGUGAAAUGCUUAGAUAUCACGAAGAACUCCGAUUGCGAAGGCAGCCUGCUAAGCUGCAACUGACAUUGAGGCUCGAAAGUGUGGGUAUCAAACAGGAUUAGAUACCCUGGUAGUCCACACGGUAAACGAUGAAUACUCGCUGUUUGCGAUAUACGGCAAGCGGCCAAGCGAAAGCGUUAAGUAUUCCACCUGGGGAGUACGCCGGCAACGGUGAAACUCAAAGGAAUUGACGGGGGCCCGCACAAGCGGAGGAACAUGUGGUUUAAUUCGAUGAUGCGCGAGGAACCUUACCCGGGCUUAAAUUGCAGAUGAAUUACGGUGAAAGCCGUAAGCCGCAAGGCAUCUGUGAAGGUGCUGCAUGGUUGUCGUCAGCUCGUGCCGUGAGGUGUCGGCUUAAGUGCCAUAACGAGCGCAACCCUUGUUGUCAGUUACUAACGGGUUCCGCUGAGGACUCUGACAAGACUGCCAUCGUAAGAUGUGAGGAAGGUGGGGAUGACGUCAAAUCAGCACGGCCCUUACGUCCGGGGCUACACACGUGUUACAAUGGGGGGUACAGAGGGCCGCUACCACGCGAGUGGAUGCCAAUCCCAAAAACCUCUCUCAGUUCGGACUGGAGUCUGCAACCCGACUCCACGAAGCUGGAUUCGCUAGUAAUCGCGCAUCAGCCACGGCGCGGUGAAUACGUUCCCGGGCCUUGUACACACCGCCCGUCAAGCCAUGGGAGCCGGGGGUACCUGGAGUGCGUAACCGCGAGGAGCGCCCUAGGGUAAAACUGGUGACUGGG
rnacentral:rRNA from 1 species